AUUGUAUUCCCUCCGUCCGGAAAUACUUGUCAUAGAAAUGGAUGUAUCUAGACGUAUUUUAGUUAUAGAUACAUCUAUUUCCAUCCAUUUCCGUGACAAGUAAUUCCGGACGGAGAGAGUACUUG
rnacentral:pre_miRNA from 1 species